GGCCAUGACAACACAUGAAGAUGUGGUAAUGACAGCACAGGAAGCAGAAGCGUGGAGCUUAUAUCAAGGUAUACAAUGGGUUGCUAGCUUGGGUUAUAAUAAAGUUGUCUUUGAACUAGAUUGUAAGAUUGUUGUGGAUGAUGUGAACAAGAUGAGUAUCAACCAAUCGGAGUAUGGUUCAAUCAUUCAAAAUUGUCGAACCUUACUUCAUCACUAUAAUGACUUCAUAGUCGAUUUUACUAGGCGUCAAGCAAACGGUAGCG
rnacentral:lncRNA from 1 species